UGGAUGGCGUUGGUCGGCAGGCUCCGUGCUCGUGCAUCGAACUGUCGGCGCCCCAUCCGCUUCAGUCUUGCCCCAAGCGCUGCUUGCGGGUGCUCGAGGUAUCCUGUGUUGCUUACCCAUGAAAWGGAAUUCSAUGGUUUUGGUGUCCCCAUCCGCCUUGAGCCUUUAGGGGCGUGGGGCGGACUCGAGGCGGGCUCCGUGUUCCCCGCGUGUCGAGUGCGUUGACGCUCGGCCGCUGCGGCCCACGGGGUCUCGGCCCGUGCUCUCGGAUGCGGAAUGCUGUGUGUGGGCGUGGGGGGUUUCGGCUCGUUCUCGUCCAAGCCACACUGGUUGUCCCUUGACAUGAACGACCGCGGCGUCCGUCUUGAUCGGCCGACCGAGCUCCCUUUGCGGGGUUCCGGGAGGGCGGCUCAUGCGGGCGCUUGCGUCGRAGAGGAAUGCUAC
rnacentral:misc_RNA from 1 species